rnacentral:rRNA from 1 species
GAGGAAUAUUGGUCAAUGGGCGCAAGCCUGAACCAGCCAUCCCGCGUGAAGGAAGAAUGCGCUAUGCGUUGUAAACUUCUUUUCCGGAGGAAUAAAAUCUUGUACGAGUACAGGACUGAAGGUACUCCGGGAAUAAGCAUCGGCUAACUCCGUGCCAGCAGCCGCGGUAAUACGGAGGAUGCAAGCGUUAUCCGGAUUUAUUGGGUUUAAAGGGUGCGUAGGCGGAUUAAUAAGUCAGCGGUGAAAACCUUCAGCUUAACUGGAGACUUGCCAUUGAUACUGUUAGUCUUGAGUAUGGUUAAGGUAGGCGGAAUGUGUAAUGUAGCGGUGAAAUGCUUAGAUAUUACACAGAACACCAAUUGCGAAGGCAGCUUACUGAGCCAUAACUGACGCUGAUGCACGAAAGCGUGGGGAGCGAAC